AACCAAAGACUCCAAAGACGAAACUAGUCUACAGGGAGCACAGCCUCAUCUACCUAGAGAGCAGAAUACCGAGAUGGUGCCCGGCUACCAUUACCGACCGUUCCCACCAGGGAUACAAAUACAAUAGAUGGUCCAGGAUAGCAUGGGAGAAAAACAUAGAACAAAACUCAAAUUCCUAAAAAAAAAAAAAGUCAAUACUUAUUGGACCCGUGGAGACCAGAGGAACGCCUGAGACUAUCCCCCUGGGAUACCCUUUGUCCUUGGAUCUCAAACCACUCCUGGUGUUCACCUAUCAGCCCAAACACAGAGUGGCUCAUAAAAUAAAUAUCACCUGCGACUACUGUGCUCCUCUAAAUAAUGAGACCUAACAGUCAAAAUUCACCCUAGGCCGACGAUGAUGAAGGUAAGGAGGGCCAGGGAACUGAUGGAAACAGAACCGUCACAAAGGAAAUAACGAGAAUGCUGACACAUUGUGAAAAGUGUAACCAAUGUCACUGAGUAACAGGAGGGUUAAGUCAAAAAGUACUGCUGCUAGGGUUCCAGUUCAUACAUGCACGGGUGUAUUCCACACAAAACGUGUUUAAACAUGUUUGUCUCUGUGAUGGGUGGAUGGCUGCAAAUUCUCUAGGUAACACACUCGUCUUGGUCUCCGUAAGGUGCCUUCGGGGAAAAAAAAAAAAAAAAAAGGAUACAUUCUAUGCCAUGGAAAAAAAUGAUCCCGAGGUCAGGGCUAAUAUCAAUUUUUGUUCUAUUCUACGUGUUAAGAGCCACUCAUUAUUCCGAGAAAGUUGCACAGGCUUCAGCCGAAAGCCAAAGGGGCGUGGGGAAGGAGAAGUGAAGAAGCCGCGCAGUCCGGGAGAGACGCGGCUGGGCCAGGCCCCCGACUCGGCUCGCCGCGUAAACGGUGGCCGCUGGGGAGGGGGAAGGGAGACGUCACUUCUUCCUCGGGCUGCCGGCCCGCUCAUUGGCCGUCUGGGAGGAACGGGAGGAGGAAAACGCGGGGAGGGGGCGGGCCGUGGGUAGGCGGGAAGAGCGCGGUCGGUGAUGUCACUGACCGGGCAGUGUCUUAUGUAGAUACGGAAGCGCAGUGGCUGCUGGAUCGGCGUGUACUGCUUAAACACGUUAUGACUGUUCGUGGUGUGGGAAGAAGUCCAGUUACUUCCGGGCAAGUAGUGCGAUCGACGUUGCUGUUUUUCUUCGCGGGAAAGGCGAGUCGACCAUCAGCACAUGUGGAAAAAACGUCUGCGUAUGGCAAAACCACUUUGCUCCUUAAUUACGGGGCAUCCCUGUAAGAAGACGGCUGAGGUUCUCUACUGGGUCGUUGGUAGCGUUGCUCAAAAUUUCGUAGGAAGACCUGUUACGGUGAAAAUGCAGCUAAGUUUCUGGCUUUCAAGAGCCACGUGUUUAUUCACCUCAGUGCCCUAGGGGGUAAAAAAAAAAAAGGGGG